rnacentral:rRNA from 1 species
UACGUAGGCAGCAAGCGUUGUUCGGAGUUACUGGGCGUAAAGAGUGCGUAGGUGGUGCCCUAAGUCUGUUGUGAAAUCUCCCGGCUUAACUGGGAGGGUGCGGUGGAAACUGGGGUGCUUGGAGUGUGGGAGAGGUAAGCGGAAUUCCUGGUGUAGCGGUGAAAUGCGUAGAUAUCAGGAGGAACACCGGUGGUGUAGACGGCUUACUGGACCACGACUGACACUGAGGCACGAAAGCGUGGGUAGCAAACAGG